ACAGUUACAUCCAUCUUCCCAGGGAUGACACAACCUCCUUGUCCCCAUGACUUCCAAGCAAAGCAGAUUUCCCAUGCACCGAUGCCACCUAGCUCCGCGUCAGCGCUUCUGGCAGAAGUGGGGAACUCAUGGCUUUGAGACGCUCCCAUUUCACGCGGAGUUUAUCUCCCUCUGACUGACAGCUGCGUGGACCCCGUCCAAGAGCUUCAGGUUUGCUUCCCCACUUCCUGAUGUCCUCUUAUGUCAGACACAAGAUUCAUUCUCCUGCCAAUACCCAGAGGUCUGGAGCACAGAACGCGCCUGUCGUGCUCUGCGUCUCCGCCAGCUUUGAUGGACGUAUGGGAUAUGAAAUGGACACUUUCUUCCUUGGGAGAAAAAAAGGGACUUUAUUUUAACUUGCUUGCCCCUCACUUAAAGUGGCAUCUGUCAGAAGGCAGCAUGAGACACAGAGGUGGAAAGAAGUGAAAGAGAGGCAUGGAAAACUGGAGCAAAAUGAGAGGCAAAGAAGAUGAAUGAAGAUAAACAAGCGCAAAUAAAAAGAGGAGAAAGGGCUGGAAAUCUUGAGCUAUUCCAUGGAUGAACAACAGACACCAAACCCAUGAAGGAAAGGAGUUGUGGAUGAGGUUAAGGAGUGGAGGAGAACACAGAGGGGAGGUGGUCUCCAUGGACCUGUGUGGUGCAGAGCACUCAAUCCAUGUGGGACCAAGUUGGGAUGGGCAGCGACAACAGCACUGUGCUCCCAGAGCAGCCCUUGUAACUGGGACACAAUGAAACAAGAUAAAGGGGAGAGCCAAGGCAAACAGAACUUGCCUACUUUCAACAUUUAUUCCUAUAUAUUUUUUUAGAAAAAGAAAAUACAGACUAAGCACAUAAAUGGACAAGACUUACUUAGCUAAGUCAUUUUUUUCCCCUCCCUUGCACCACUUUGGAAAAUAAAUAGUUUUAAAUAAUUUUUUUCUUCAAUCCAAGGCCCGUACGUACACUGACAGCAAACCUUUAAGAGCUGCAUUUUUCCCCCCUUUUUUUCUUCUUCUUCUUCUUUUUUUUUUCUGCUGCUGUAAUUAUGGUCUCAUUAAGAUUCCAAUAAAAAACAGU
ensembl:lncRNA